GGAUGAGUGGCGCAAUGGCAGCGCGUCGGUUUUCGGAUAGAUCGCCGAAGGUUGUCGGUUCGAGUCCGGCCUUGUUCG
rnacentral:tRNA from 1 species